rnacentral:rRNA from 1 species
UGAGUAACCUGCCCUUAACUCUGGGAUAAGCCUGGGAAACUGGGUCUAAUACCGGAUAUGACUCCUCAUCGCAUGGUGGGGGGUGGAAAGCUUUAUUGUGGUUUUGGAUGGACUCGCGGCCUAUCAGCUUGUUGGUGAGGUAAUGGCUCACCAAGGCGACGACGGGUAGCUGGUCUGAGAGGACGACCAGCCACACUGGAACUGAGAUACGGUCCAGACUCCGUACGGGAGGCAG